rnacentral:misc_RNA from 1 species
GGAGAACGAGAAGAGAGUUAGAGCAGACGCGAGUUGAUGGAGCCUAGAGGGGAUUCUAUACUAAAUUUGGCUGACAAGAGCUUGAGAGGUUCACAGUUGACAGGCUUUUGCAUAUAAUCUUUUUGGUACAACUGCAAUCUUUCUUUAUCUUUUACUUCAAUUUUACGAAUUUGCUGAUGAGUCUUCAUCAUACUACUUUCAGAAUUACGCCGCAAACGCUUCUUCCGUGUCAAAUUCGUUCUUAUACUUCAAAUCCAGCACCAUCACGCAACUGAUCCAAAAGGUUUUUGCCGCUUGACGUGGCAUGAAACCCCGUUCCCGUACAGAAAAAACCUGCAGUUCACCUCACCGGUGACGUCGACUGAAUAUUCGUGCUACUCACUUGGCUCGUGACGUGGAUUGUCUGAAAACGGAGGUAGCAGAACAUGAUGAUGAUUGUUAGAAGGACCCCACGUGAUGGGUCCUUUGCAUUUAUUUAUGGCAUGAUGGAGCCCAUGUGAUGGUCCUUGGCUCUCUGUCCUGUUCUUUUACUAUUUUCGUACUUCUCGGUUGCUUGUUUAUCAGCUGCUAAUCUUCUAGCUAAUUUUAUUAGCAAAAUUAUUAUUGACAAAAAUAUUUAUUAAAAAAAUUUAAAAUUAAAUUUAAUAA